AGUCAAUUAUUAACUAUAAAAGUCAAGCAUUUUCAGAUAUUUGAUUGAUGAAUAUCAAUCAUAUUUGAAGCG